UACAGAGGAUGCAAGCGUUAUCCGGAAUGAUUGGGCGUAAAGCGUCUGUAGGUGGCUUUUUAAGUCCGCCGUCAAAUCCCAGGGCUCAACUCUGGACAGGCGGUGGAAACUACCAAGCUGGAGUACGGUAGGGGCAGAGGGAAUUUCCGGUGGAGCGGUGAAAUGCGUAGAUAUCAGGAGGAACACCAGCGGCGAAGGCGGUGGUCUGGGCCAAUACUGACGCUGAGGAGCGAAAGCGUGGGGAGCGAACAGG
rnacentral:rRNA from 1 species